rnacentral:rRNA from 1 species
GACGAAGGAUCCAAGCGUUAUCCGGAUUCAUUGGGUUUAAAGGGUGCGUAGGCGGCCCGGUAAGUCAGUGGUGAAAGCCUGUUGCUUAACAACAGAACUGCCAUUGAUACUGCCAGGCUUGAGUACAGUUGCUGUGGGCGGAAUAUGACAUGUAGUGGUGAAAUACAUAGAGAUGUCAUAGAACACCGAUUGCGAAGGCAGCUCACAAAACUGUAACUGACGCUGAGGCACGAAAGUGCGGGGAUCAAACAGG